CAGUAGCCGCGGGAAUACGUAGGGUGCGAGCGUUAAUCGGAAUUACUGGGCGUAAAGCGUGCGCAGGCGGUUGUGUAAGACAGGUGUGAAAUCCCCGGGCUCAACCUGGGAAUGGCAGUGGAUACUGGCUCGCUAGAGUGUGUCAGAGGAUGGUGGAAUUCCCGGUGUAGCGGUGAAAUGCGUAGAGAUCGGGAGGAACAUCAGUGGCGAAGGCGGCCAUCUGGGACAACACUGACGCUGAGGCACGAAAGCGUGGGGAGCAAACAGGAUUAGAUACCCCAGUAGUCCCUGUCUCUUAUAC
rnacentral:rRNA from 1 species